rnacentral:rRNA from 1 species
ACGUAGGGUGCAAGCGUUGUCCGGAAUUACUGGGUGUAAAGGGUCCGCAGGCGGGUAAGCAAGUCGGUGGUGAAAUCCUGCAGCUCAACUGCAGAACUGCCUCCGAUACUGUUUAUCUUGAGUACGAGAGAGGAUGAUGGAAUUCAUGGUGUAGCGGUGAAAUGCGUAGAGAUCAUGAAGAACACCGGUUGCGAAGGCGAUCAUCUGGCUCGUUACUGACGCUCAGGGACGAAAGCGUGGGGAGCAAACAGGAUUAGAUACCCUGGUAGUCCACGCCUUAAACGAUGGAUGUUCGGUGUCGGUCCCGUUCGGCAUAUUAAAAUGUGUUGAACGGGAUCGGUGCCUGAGCUAACGCGUUAAACAUCCCACCUGGGGAGUACGAUCGCAAGGUUG